rnacentral:rRNA from 1 species
AUUGAACGCUGGCGGCAGGCCUAACACAUGCAAGUCGAGCGGAGCGGCGGACGGGUGAGUAAUGCCUAGGAAUCUGCCUGGUAGUGGGGGAUAACGUCCGGAAACGGGCGCUAAUACCGCAUACUAUCAGAUGAGCCUAGGUCGGAUUGGCUAGUUGGUGGGGUAAUGGCCUACCAAGGCGACGAUCCGUAACUGGUCUGCGAGGAUGAUCAGGCACACGGGAAUGGAGAAACGGUCCAGACUCCGACGGUAGGCAGAAGUGGGGAAUAUUGGAAAAUGGGGGAAAGCCUGAUCCAGCCAUGCCGCGGGUGUGAAGAAGGUCUUCGGAUUGUAAAGCACUUUAAGUUGGGAGGCGUUACCAACAGAAUAAGCACCGGCUAACUUCGUGCCAGCAGCCGCGGUAAUAC